rnacentral:rRNA from 1 species
UUGUAAAGCACUUUAAGUUGGGAGGAAGGGCUGUAGGCUAAUAUCCUGCAGCUUUGACGUUACCGACAGAAUAAGCACCGGCUAACUCUGUGCCAGCAGCCGCGGU